rnacentral:rRNA from 1 species
UACGUAGGGGGCUAGCGUUGUCCGGAAUCAUUGGGCGUAAAGCGCGCGUAGGCGGCCCGGUAAGUCCGCUGUAAAAGUCCAGGGCUCAACCCUGGAACGCCGGUGGAUACUGUCGGGCUAGAGUCCGGAAGAGGCGAGUGGAAUUCCUGGUGUAGCGGUGGAAUGCGCAGAUAUCAGGAGGAACACCAGCGGCGAAGGCAGUUCGCUGGCAGUCUCCUGACGCUGAGGCGCGAAAGCGUGGGUAGCAAACAGG